ensembl:lncRNA
GCUCUUUAGCAAUAAAGCAUUUUUCAAUUAAGGCACGUGCAUUUUUUUUUUUAAAGAGACAUAAUCCUAUUGCCCACUUAGUAGACCAAAGUAUAGUGUAAAUACCCUGCAGUGCAGGAGACCUGGGUUUGAUACCUGGGUUGGGAAGAUCCCCUGGAGAAGGGCAUGGCAACCCACUCCAGUAUUCUUGCCUGGAGAAUCCCAUGGACAGAGGAGCGUGGCAGGCUACAGUCCAUGGGGUCACAUAGAAUCAGACAAAACUGCGUGACUAAGCACAGCACAGCAUAGUGUAAAUACAAUGGUUAUAUACACUGGGAAAUCAAAAUGUCACGUGACUCACAUCAUUGUGAUGGUCUGGAACCCAACCCACAAUAUCUCCAAGGUCUGCCUGUAUGUGACUCUGUGUUUGGUUCAGCAACUCAUUUGGGCUCAUCUCUUAUCCUCACUAGUAUCAUUAAAAAAAUAUUUAUUGAGGGCCUACUGAGUGCCAGGCCCUGUUCUAGGCCCACUGUCCCACCAGUGAAGAGUUUGUGGAGUUCAUUUUCUACUGGAAGGACGCAGACAAAAAAGCCAACGGACACAUGGGUGUGUAGUAUGUCAGAUGGCAUAAAGGCCAGUAAGAUAAAUCAUGCAGGAGGGAGGGCAGGGACGGAUGUGGGAGCUAAUUUAAUAAAUGCCCAGGGAAGACCUUGCUGGGGCGGACCUUUGAAUAGAGAUGUGAGGAGCAGAGAUAGCUGGUUCCCGGCAGAAGAAACGGCAGGCGUAAAGGUCCAGCGGUGGGAACUCUCCUCCUGCCGCCUCGCUGAUGAACUCCAAGGCAGGGGAGUUCAUGGGCUUUCCUGGAGACAAGACCCUCCAGGAACUUCUCACCCCUCUCUGAGUGAAAGCCCAAGACCUCACACCCCCUGCAAGGCCGCUGUAGAUCCUGCCCUGCCUCUCUUUCCAUCUUCACCCUGCCCCUGCCGCUCUGGCCUCAGUGCUCUUCAGGGAGGAAUGAGCUGUUUGCACGAGCUGGGCCUUUGCAGAGCUCUUCCCCGGGAAUCCCCGUGGCUCCCGCCCCUGCUCAUUCGGAUCCCCUCCACGAGUCAGGCCGAGCCUAGCAGAGCCGAACAGGGAGCCUGAGCUGGGACCCCGAUGACUCAGCGGAGUCCCUGCCAGCCAUGGCCCUCUUGCUCCAGGAUUCUCCUUGAUUGGAGGUAAGGAAGUGCCAGGAGUCGGCACCUUCACCAGUUUCAUCUCCUGUUAUUGCAGCUCGAUUCCUUGCACAGGGACUGUAGUUAGGAUUUGAGUGCAGGGUCGCAGCUGGGGUGUGGUCCAGGGGCAGUAAUGGGCUGUA